AGCAGCCGCGGUAAUUCCAGCUCCAAUAGCGUAUAUUAAAGUUGUUGCAGUUAAAAAGCUCGUAGUUGAAUUUCGGGGUCAGUAGAUUGGUCAUGCCUCCGGUAUGCACUGGUCUUACUGGCUCCUCCUUCCUGAUGAACCGUAAUGCCAUUAAUUUGGUGUUGCGGGGAGACUGGACUGUUACUUUGAAAAAUUAGAGUGUUUAAAGCAGGCUAACGCUUGAAUACAUUAGCAUGGAAUAAUGAAAUAGGACGUUCGAUCUUAUUUUGUUGGUUUCUAAGAUUGACGUAAUGAUUAAUAGGGAUAGUUGGGGCAUUAGUAUUCAAUUGUCAGAGGUGAAAUUCUUGGAUUUAUUGAAGACUAACUACUGCGAAAGCAUUUGCCAAGGAUGUU
rnacentral:rRNA from 1 species